GAUGAACGCUGACAGAAUGCUUAACACAUGCAAGUCUACUUGAUUCUACUUCGGUAGUUGAUGGUGGCGGACGGGUGAGUAACGCGUAAAGAAUCUGCCCUUUAGUUUGGGAUAACCUUUGGAAACGAAGGCUAAUACCGAAUAUUAUGGAGAUGUCGCAUGACGACUUCAUGAAUGACAUGUUCGCUAGAGGAGGGCUUUGCGUCCCAUUAGUUAGUUGGUGAGGUAAUGGCUCACCAAGACCGCGCUGGGUAGCCGGCCUGUGAGGGUGGUCGGGCGCAACGGGAAUGAGACAGGGGCCUUACGCCAAGGGGAGGGAGCAGUGGGGGAUAUUGGGAAAGUGACCUCACGUGUGAUCCAGCAAUUCUGUCUGCAUGUUGAAGGUCUUUUGAUUGUAAAGUGCUUUCAGUAGUGAAGAAAAAAUGACGGUACCUACAGAAGAAGCAACGGCUAAAUAUGUGCCAGCAGCCGCCGUAA
rnacentral:rRNA from 1 species